CAGGCCGGAACCGUUGUCGCACACGAGGGCGGUGGUCUCAUCGUCGUCACACAUGGCUGCGGGUUCUGGAGGAGGGAAGUCAGAGGUGGAGGUUGUGCUGCUCUGCUGGAGGCUCAAACAACAACAUCCACACAGCAGCUGAGUGACGUCCACCCUCCGGUUUCUAAAACAAGAGGGUCGGGACCUCCAGCACACCGGACAGCUGCAGAAUUCCUCUGAGACAAAAACUGAGCCAACAGACUCAUCUGUGUUUGUCCAACUGCUAACUGAAGCUCCACUGAGGCGACGCUGAGAGUCCUCUGCAGACGCUGUAGCUGUGAAAGUGGAUCAUCACGGAGGAUCCCUGUCAGGGUGGCAGUCAGCCAACCAAGGAGUCCAAAUCUAUUAAUAACCAACAUCUGCCCUUCGUCACCACACAGGAGGAAGUCCUGACUAAUGCAGGCCAGCUUCUGGUAAUCGGUAUCUUUACAGGCUCAGGUUUCUGCCACUUUCUAGGUCUGAUAACUGCGAUAUCAGACGGCAGUAAAGAGAAUUUAAACCAAGUUCCUGCAGAGAAAUAUUAAAGAUACUCUACAGGCUAUUAUACUACUAUUUAUAUUUUUAUUAAAAAUAAUUAUCUACUUAGAAAUUGUUAAAAUUUCUUAAUAUGUACUCAUCCUGCCUCAUCUAUAUAUCUAAAUACUUCUUAAAUAGUGGAGUUGUCUGACUUCACCAUUUCUAAGACUCUGGCUUUGGUGCUUUGUGGAUUUCAUUUAAAACAAAAUUAUGUGACUGGCAUCUUGUAUUAUACCAGUAACAGAAAUAUGCUGGAUGAAAGAUGUGCAUUUCCAUUUCUCCUAUAAAUAAUGGAUUUUUAAAAUAUAUAUUGAUAAUCUCUUA